rnacentral:tRNA from 1 species
GGGGCGGUGGUCUAGUGGCUAUGAUGCUCUGCCUUGUUGGCAGAGAGGUCGGUGGUUCGAGUCCAUCCCGCUCCA